GAUGAACGCUGGCGGCGUGCCUAAUACAUGCAAGUCGAGCGAACAGACGAGGAGCUUGCUCCUCUGACGUUAGCGGCGGACGGGUGAGUAACACGUGGAUAACCUACCUAUAAGACUGGGAUAACUUCGGGAAACCGGAGCUAAUACCGGAUAAUAUAUUGAACCGCAUGGUUCAAUAGUGAAAAACGGUUUUGCUGUCACUUAUAGAUGAAUCCGCGCCGCAUUAGCUAGUUGGUAAGGUAACGGCUUACCAAGGCAACGAUGCGUAGCCGACCUGAGAGGGUGAUCGGCCACACUGGAACUGAGACACGGUCCAGACUCCUACGGGAGGCAGCAGUAGGGAAUCUUCCGCAAUGGGCGAAAGCCUGACGGAGCAACGCCGCGUGAGUGAUGAAGGUCUUCGGAUCGUAAAACUCUGUUAUUAGGGAAGAACAAAUGUGUAAGUAACUAUGCACGUCUUGACGGUACCUAAUCAGAAAGCCACGGCUAACUACGUG
rnacentral:rRNA from 1 species